AGUGAACGCUGGCGGUAGGCCUAACACAUGCAAGUCGAACGGCAGCACAGUAAGAGCUUGCUCUUACGGGUGGCGAGUGGCGGACGGGUGAGGAAUACAUCGGAAUCUACUUUUUCGUGGGGGAUAACGUAGGGAAACUUACGCUAAUACCGCAUACGACCUACGGGUGAAAGCAGGGGAUCUUCGGACCUUGCGCGAUUGAAUGAGCCGAUGUCGGAUUAGCUGGUUGGCGGGGUAAAGGCCCACCAAGGCGACGAUCCGUAGCUGGUCUGAGAGGAGGAUAAGCCACACGGGAAGUGAGACAGGGACCAGAGUACUACGGGAGGGAGCAGUGGGGAAUAUUGGACAAUGGGCGCAAGCCUGAUCCAGCCAGACCGCGUGGGUGAAGAAGGCCUUCGGGUUGUAAAGACCUUUUGUUGGGAAAGAAAAGCAGCAGGUUAAUACCCCGCUGUUCUGACGGAACCCAAAGAAUAAGCACCGGCUAACUUCGUG
rnacentral:rRNA from 1 species